AAGAAACACUUCAGACAAGUUCAUUUUUUUUGUCUUCAAUACAGCUUUGAAAUCAAGAUUGGAAAAGCAUGGGGGUUGGAAAGAUAAUAACAUUGUUACUAUUGCUAAGAGGUGUUGUGACAAUGACUACUGCCUCGACGACUGAUGUGUCCACGACAGCUUCUUCAGACACAGCGACAGUUGUCACCAUCACAGCCACA